rnacentral:tRNA from 1 species
GUUUUGGUAGCUUAACUAAAAAGCGUCGACCUUGUAAGUCGAAAAUCGAGGGUGCAAACCCCUUCCAAAACA